GAGAUGGAUUACAGUAUGGUUAGUAACUGUAUUAAACAAAAAGGUUGCCUGUUCAAACAUAAUAUAACCUUCUUGAACCACAAGAUCUUCUCUACAUUUGAACUACUUCUCUACAUUUGAGCGUUUGAACUUCAUUUAGCCGAGUGACUAAUAUUUUAAUACAUCAAAAUCAUCCCUUCUUCCAUGACAUGCAAACAGCCCUUAAGACGCCUGUUCAGGAGGUAGGAAAAGUGCAAUUUGAAUAUCAAACAUCUUGCCCAAAGUCGAAGGGCGGCUGAAAGUUCUAAUUCCACUUUCUUGGCAUGGGCGGUUUUAUAUGAAUAUCUUCAAUGCUUAUAACGUCUUGCUGUUGUAUAAUUAUAAUACUGUCAGUGGUGAAGCUAGUCAUAGCAACACUAGGUCAUGCUAUGCAAGUUUUUAAUGAUUUGCAUUAUUCAAAUAGAUGCAGGUUUAUCGGGCAGUAUAGCAUGCAUGCAGUAUGGCCAGUUGCCAUGGCUAACUUGCCGCUGAAUACCGAUACAAUGUUUAAAUGUACAGGUUUGAAUAUUUUGCAGUAAUAAAUUUACGUGGUGUUUCCCGACAAACAAAUUAAACUAUUAUAUAUUUUAUCGCCAUGCAAACAUACAAAGUCAAAGAAUUUA